UGUCCUUCAAUCAUCCAAGAAUUUAAUGCUGGCAAUACAUAUUCUCAAAAAAUUAAGAAUUAGAGACGUAUAAUUAAUUUUUAAAUUGCUUCUGAUCAUAGUAUCAUCAUGGGGACGAUGAUCAAUCCAGAUAGACUAACGCAUGGAUCGCUUCCUUCGGGAUUGAUGAAUCUCUAGUUUAUAAUGUAGAAACAUUGAGCGAUAAGUAUGGGUAGUUGUUAAAGAACAGUUAGUACUGAAUAUGAUGAUACGAGAGAUCACGUGAUUUUCUAUUCAAUUGUCAAUGAUCAUCUCAAUGCUGUAGUUGUGUGAAUAGUCCUUCGACCUGCAAUGACAUGACUGCUUAUAGUAAAGCUGCUAGAGUUUGACUGCACAGAAACAUGACCUCUAAGCUAUUGAAAUCUUUUUAGUGUAUGUUAGCGACAGUUGAUCCACUGUAGGAGCAGAGUAUGCAUCUAGAUGAAAUGUAUCGAUCUUGAUAGAAAGGAGUAAUCUUAUUAGAUUUGAGAGGCUAAGUCCUUAAGUCUGUGGCCACAGCAGUGUGAUUGAUAGAAAAAAAAUUCAUGAAAAUCACAAUUAGACUUGAACUAAUUGAAUCCAUUAUAUGACUGAUGUUGAGGUUUGAUGAUUUAUCCAUGACCUACCAUUAAAUCGAAACUCACGAUAGAAAGAUUAAAUCAUACGGAAACUACACCUGAAGGUUCUUUACUACAUUCUGCUGAGUUGCCACUACAUACUGCUAGAUGUCACUGGUAAAUUGUGAAAGCUCACUAAGAUUAUUUUGGAUUGGCAGUCCUUAUUGAGAAAUAAUGGAAUUAUUCUGAUCCAUUAAAAAGAGUUUCAAUGAUACUUUAAUAGAGAUCAUAGUAUACAUCUCACUACCAGAUAGAAUUGAAUCUAUAGGAUCAUACAAACAAAAGAAUCAAUUUUGAGUCACCAAUUGGACUUAUGAAGUCCUGAUUAGAUUUGGAUUUAGAGAAAUCCUAUAGACUUUAGAAAUUUCUUGCUAGCACAUGAUUAAAUCCAAUUCUUUUUUAGACUUGAAUUCUUUAUUUGAUAAGGAUUAUACUAAAUUAGUUACAUGCAUUAGAUCUAAUCCAAAUUAAAUUUAGAAUUGGGUUCAAAGGGCUCGAUUGUUGAGCACCAACAUGCUUUGGAUCAAGCCUUUAUUGCACCAUUUGAUUUGAUCAAAUUGGGUGCACCAUAUGUGGAUAAACUAGAGGGACCACACUUCCCUUAAAUCUAAUUUGGGCGUGGACUAUUGCAUAGCAAGAGAUGGGCGCAACCCCAUCUCCUUGUGGGGUGAGGAUCCUAGAGGGCGUCAAUAGUUGGCGCCUCCUCCCUUUUCCUUAUGAGAUAAGGAAUGCCUAAGAGUUUAAAAGAAAAAAAUCUUAAUAAGAUUAGGAUUCCUCUUUAAAUAAAGAUUGAAGUUUGAUUUGGACUCUAAUUAAAGCCCUAUAUAAGAGGACCCCCUCUUAGCCUUUAAGCAUAACAAUCAAGCCAUCAAAGCAAUCAGCCAUCCAAGUCUCCAUGCCUCCCCACUCUCCCUCUCUAUCUCCUAUGCCCAAAAGAUGUUGGGUGUCCUUGCAUCCACACACCCAAAGGUGUUGCGCGUUCUAUCUUUCUUCCUAGUUUUGGUUGGUGGUUGUUUUUCAUCAAGAAAGAUCCAAGGUAGAAGAACAAGCUGAUCAAGGAAUUGAUUAAAAGGAUCCAAAGGCUAAUCAAAAGGUUGAUCAAUUACAUGUAAAGAAGAAAAAAAGAAAAAGAGGAGCAAUCCAAGUCGUUCCGAUGUAGAUAUCCAUAGAGAUCGAGUAGUUGUAUAGCUAAGAUAGAACCUACUCAUCUUUCGGAUCUAGAUUUGAAGAAAAAAAAUGAAAUAGGUGUAAUCCAAUUACAUGAUUUUAUUUUCAGAUUACAAAUCUACAUGUAUUAAUUUCAGCAUGUGAACUAGAUCCUUGGGUACUUUGAUCAUAUGUGUGCAUAUUCUAGAUUAAAAGAGAUUUUAAUCUAUUAUUUCAUUGCGUUGUUUUUCAAAAGAGUUUUGAAAUCUACAUGCACCAGCACUUAUGAAAUUUCAAUAGUAGUAUCAGAGCCACGGAUUCAUGUGUAUGAAAAUUAACAAGCAUGUUUUGAAAAAGGUUAUGAAAACCUGAUUUUUAAUGAUACAUGAGA
rnacentral:lncRNA from 1 species